CUCCUACGGGGCGCAGCAGUGGGGAAUAUUGGGCAAUGGGCGCAAGCCUGACCCAGCAACGCCGCGUGAAGGAAGAAGGCUUUAGGGUUGUAAACUUGUUUUAUGAGGGACGAAAGAAAUGACGGUACCUCAUGAAUAAGCCACGGCUAACUACGUGCCAGCAGCCGCGGUAAUACGUAGGUGGCAAGCGUUAUCCGGAUUUACUGGGUGUAAAGGGCGUGUAGGCGGGACUGCAAGUCAGAUGUGAAAAUUAUGGG
rnacentral:rRNA from 1 species